UACGUAGGGGGCAAGCGUUGUCCGGAUUUAUUGGGCGUAAAGAGCGUGUAGGCGGUUAUACAGGUCCGUCUGUGAAAACUGGAGGCUUAACCUCCAGACGUCGGUGGAAACCGUAUAACUAGAGUCCGGAAGAGGAGAGUGGAAUUCCUGGUGUGAGCGGUGAAAUGCGCAGAUAUCAGGAAGAACACCCGUGGCGAAGGCGGGUCUCUGGGCCGAUACUGACGCUGAGGAGCGAAAGCGUGGGGAGCGAACAGGA
rnacentral:rRNA from 1 species